rnacentral:rRNA from 1 species
AUACAGAGGGUGCGAGCGUUAAUCGGAAUUACUGGGCGUAAAGCGCGCGUAGGCGGCUACUUAAGUCAGAUCUGAAAUCCCCGGGCUCAACCUGGGAACUGCAUCUGAUACUGGGUAGCUAGAGUUUAGGAGAGGGAAGUAGAAUUUCAGGUGUAGCGGUGAAAUGCAUAGAGAUCUGAAGGAAUACCAGUGGCGAAGGCGGCUUCCUGGCCUAAAACUGACGCUGAGGUGCGAAAGCGUGGGUAGCAAACGGGAUUAGAAACCCCAGUAGUCC